GAAUCUUCCGCAAUGGACGAAAGUCUGACGGAGCAACGCCGCGUGAGUGAGGAAGGUUUUCGGAUCGUAAAGCUCUGUUGCCAGGGAAGAACGGUUGGAAGAGUAACUGCUUUCAACAUGACGGUACCUGAGAAGAAAGCCCCGGCUAACUACGUGCCAGCAGCCGCGGUAAUACGUAGGGGGCAAGCGUUGUCCGGAAUUAUUGGGCGUAAAGCGCGCGCAGGCGGUUGUUUAAGUCUGGUGUAUAAGCCCAGGGCUCAACCUUGGGAGGCAUCGGAAACUGGGCAACUGGAGUACAGGAGAGGAAAGUGGAAUUCCACGUGUAGCGGUGAAAUGCGUAGAGAUGUGGAGGAACACCAGUGGCGAAGGCGACUUUCUGGCCUGAAACUGACGCUGAGGCGCGAAAGCGUGGGGAGCAAACAG
rnacentral:rRNA from 1 species